GCGGGAUUCGUCAUGCCAUCUCGAUGUGUAGCGAUGAAUUACUCACAGGAAGAUUCGAGACUCUAGGAGUGGUCCCAAAAAAACUUCUCCUGCAAAGCCACGACAGCUUUGAAAACCUACAACAAUGCAACCUUGGUUUUGCAAAGACGAAGCCAAACAUAAAAAAUUAAGUGGCGGAAACCCUCAACACGAUGAAAAAAGCGUUGCAAGUCAGUUGCCACCCAGUUUCCCAAAAUCAAGAGGGAGUGGGUCGAGUCAUAUGAUGACCGAAGUGAUGCGGUGUCCAGCGAUGACGACUGAAGAGAUCCUAUGAGGCCUGCCAGAUGCUGAAUUUCUUCCGUCUGCGACAUCAGAUGACGAUGAUUUAGGAGAAAUAAAUGUAGCAAAUUUUGAUGACAUGAAAUCAUAAACUAGUCAUAUAUACAGUACACAUUUUUUAAAAGAAAAAUCAAGUUACCUUCAUAUUUUAAUGAUAAUGCAUUAUCUUUGUAUAGAGAACACUU